rnacentral:rRNA from 1 species
UACGAAGGGUGCAAACGUUGCUCGGAAUUAUUGGGCGUAAAGCGCACGUAGGCGGCUUAGCAAGUCGGAUGUGAAAUCCCUCGGCUCAACCAAGGAAGUGCAUCCGAAACUGCUGAGCUUGAGUACUUAAGAGGAUCGCGGAAUUCCCGGUGUAGAGGUGAAAUUCGUAGAUAUCAGGAGGAACACCGAUGGCGAAGGCAGGUCUCUGGGCAUUAACUGACGCUGAGGAGCGAAAGCAUGGGGAGCGAACAGG